rnacentral:lncRNA from 1 species
CUAGGACGGAGUCCAAGGCCUUCCCUGUCCAGAGGGGAGAAGCCAACGUGAACAAAAGCCCUCCAGCAUCCUUAUCCAAAGUCCUCCGACCAAACAGGCUUGGGUUUAAGGGUUUCUGACUUCACCCAGGUAACAGGAUUCAGGACCUGGAGCUCUGCAGAAUCCGUGCGUGGAGAUCGGACGAGGGAGCAGACCUACAUCUGACACAAGGAGGUGAUGCUGAGGGGAAAAUCUUGGGGUCACCUGCUUUUUUAAAAAUUUUCCAACUUCGAAUUAUGGGCAUUUGUAAGCUUUCACAAAAGUAAAGA